AAAUGGCGUACACUGCAGAAGUGUACUCCUGCCUGCGGGCAUGGAGUAGGGGUGACUCGUGUCCUGUGGAGGGCUGUCCUGCUUCUCUCCAUAUCCUGGCAUGGUGGACAGAGACAGGAAGGAAGCCAGCUCCCUCAUCCCCUCUUAGAAAGGGACGGACCCCACCGAGUCCUCAUCCUCAUCCCCUCUUUUGUCACAAGCUCUCAUUUCUGAAUUCCAUCUCCUCCGGACGGGGUUUGAACAUGUGGAUUGAGGUGAACACGCAAACUUUGACCCUCUACCAGGUCCUAAGGUUGUGAUUGUUAACUUCCUGUCAACUUGAUUGCCUGGGGAGCUGCCCCACUGAUUAUAGCAUGCCUGUGGGAGUGUCUGAGUGGUCAUGAAGACAGAAGCAUGGGUAGUCUGCCAGGACUUUCACCCUUUCCUCUCUUCCCAGUUCCCCUACUUACUUCCUGGCAGCCAUGAAUGAAGCAGCUUCACUCCGUCAUGCCCUUCUGCUUUGACUGAUGCUCCUACCUGGAGCCAAGUGAGUGUGGACUGAAAACCUCUGAAACUAUGAGCCAUAUUAAUGCUCCAGGUUAUUGUCUCCCAGUAAGGAAAAGCUGACUAACACAUGGGGGAAUUUAGAAGAAACGUCUAUGAAUUAGAAUCAUGUUUUCACUUCUCUUUCUGAGGAAUUUGGCUUGUGGACAAAAAGUCUAGGUGGUAUUAUUUUCAUGUCCAGUAUUACUCUGUUCCUGAGUAACCUGGCAGAAGUCAUGGGGAAGAGGUUUGUCUCUCCCACAUCAAUGUGGUCCUCAGCCAAAACAUUCAAGAGAGAGCUCAAGAGAGAACUGCAGUCAAGGACUUGGACAUCUUUAGCCAAGUGAGUUCUCACGCAAGUUUGCAUUCCUUCCCUGAACCUUUGUUCUCAGUUCUCCAUCUGGCACUUUUUGCUGCAGGCCUUCCUUACAUGCUCCUUGGACUUCUCUGUGCAGAGAGAGGAGUGGGAAACUAUAAGAACAGUUCUCUCCACUCUGACUCAGUUCUUAGUGCUCACACACUCCUGGCCCUGCCCUCCUUACUUCCUGAAAGACCCUGAAGUCACAGGGACCUUGUCCUCACACUCA
rnacentral:lncRNA from 1 species